GACGCACGCUGGCGGCGUCCUUCACACAUGCAAGUCGAGCGGAGCGGCGAACGGGUGAGUAACGCGUGAGUCACUGCCCCCCUCUCUGGGAUAACAGUUGGACACGGCUGCUAAUACCGGAUAGUGGGGGAUGACUCGCGUCCUAUCAGCUUGUGUGUGGGGUAGUGGCCUACCACGGCGACGACGGGUAGCCGGCCUGAGAGGGCGACCGGCCACAUUGGGCAGAGAUACGGCCCAAACUCCUUCGAGAGGUAGCAGUGGGGAAUAUUGCAGAAUGGUGGAAACCCUGAUGCAGCAACCCGCGUGCGUGAUGACGGCCUUCGGGUUGUAAACCGCGUUCAGCCAUGACGCGGUAGUGGCAGAAGAAGGACCGGCUAAAUACGUGCCAGCAGCCGCAGUGAUAC
rnacentral:rRNA from 1 species